AUCUUGUGCUCCUACUAAUCUUUUAUUAACUUUGUUAAUUUUGUCAAAAGAAGGAGCAAAGCAAAGGCAGGAUUCCAUGGUGAGUUUGGAGUUUACCCUCUGUCCCUGGAAAUUGAAAUUGGUUCUCAUGCGAGCGUCGACCUUUUCUUAGCCAUGGAAUACAAAGGAAGCUACCCAAAUGUGAUAGGUCCUACUCUUCGGCGGCUUAAAUUUGAAGAUGUAGUGGCUGAACAAGAUUGGGAUCAUGUUUACGAUACAUUUUCCAUCGAUACAAAGGGCAGUGCUUACAAAAAGAGGAGGCAAGAUGAAGAGGAAGGUUGGAAGAAGGAGAGCAACCGUGCGUAGUUCUGACUGCCUCUUCCUCCUGCCGCUAAGUGUCAUAGUCAAGAGGACCAAGUGCGGGCAGGUGAGCAUCAGGAGUCCACCUGGUCGGCUUCAGCCUUUGAGGUGUUGUAGGCUAGCGAUGCCGAUUCCGAGCAUCUCCUCACCCCUCGCUCCUAUGGCCCCUUCAAUAGCUAACCAGUGAGGAUAUAUAUAAAAAGGAUA